rnacentral:rRNA from 1 species
AUGAACGCUAGCUACAGGCUUAACACAUGCAAGUCGAGGGGCAGCAUUUUAGUUUGCUUGCAAACUAAAGAUGGCGACCGGCGCACGGGUGAGUAACACGUAUCCAACCUGCCGAUAACUCGGGGAUAGCCUUUCGAAAGAAAGAUUAAUAUCCGAUAGUAUAUUAAAACCGCAUGGUUUUACUAUUAAAGAAUUUCGGUUAUCGAUGGGGAUGCGUUCCAUUAGUUUGUUGGCGGGGUAACGGCCCACCAAGACUACGAUGGAUAGGGGUUCUGAGAGGAAGGUCCCCCACAUUGGAACUGAGACACGGUCCAAACUCCUACGGGAGGCAGCAGUGAGGAAUAUUGGUCAAUGGACGAGAGUCUGAACCAGCCAAGUAGCGUGAAGGAUGACUGCCCUAUGGGUUGUAAACUUCUUUUAUAUGGGAAUAAAGUAUUCCACGUGUGGGAUUUUGUAUGUACCAUAUGAAUAAGGAUCGGCUAACUCCGUGCCAGCAGCCGCGGUAAUACGGAGGAUCCGAGCGUUAUCCGGAUUUAUUGGGUUUAAAGGGAGCGUAGGUGGAUUGUUAAGUCAGUUGUGAAAGUUUGCGGCUCAACCGUAAAAUUGCAGUUGAAACUGGCAGUCUUGAGUACAGUAGAGGUGGGCGGAAUUCGUGGUGUAGCGGUGAAAUGCUUAGAUAUCACGAAGAACUCCGAUUGCGAAGGCAGCUCACUAGACUGCAACUGACACUGAUGCUCGAAAGUGUGGGUAUCAAACAGGAUUAGAUACCCUGGUAGUCCACACAGUAAACGAUGAAUACUCGCUGUUUGCGAUAUACAGUAAGCGGCCAAGCGAAAGCAUUAAGUAUUCCACCUGGGGAGUACGCCGGCAACGGUGAAACUCAAAGGAAUUGACGGGGGCCCGCACAAGCGGAGGAACAUGUGGUUUAAUUCGAUGAUACGCGAGGAACCUUACCCGGGCUUAAAUUGCAACAGAAUAUAUUGGAAACAGUAUAGCCGUAAGGCUGUUGUGAAGGUGCUGCAUGGUUGUCGUCAGCUCGUGCCGUGAGGUGUCGGCUUAAGUGCCAUAACGAGCGCAACCCUUAUCUUUAGUUACUAACAGGUCAUGCUGAGGACUCUAGAGAGACUGCCGUCGUAAGAUGUGAGGAAGGUGGGGAUGACGUCAAAUCAGCACGGCCCUUACGUCCGGGGCUACACACGUGUUACAAUGGGGGGUACAGAAGGCAGCUACCUGGCGACAGGAUGCUAAUCCCAAAAACCUCUCUCAGUUCGGAUCGAAGUCUGCAACCCGACUUCGUGAAGCUGGAUUCGCUAGUAAUCGCGCAUCAGCCAUGGCGCGGUGAAUACGUUCCCGGGCCUUGUACACACCGCCCGUCAAGCCAUGAAAGCCGGGGGUACCUGAAGUACGUAACCGCAAGGAGCGUCCUAGGGUAAAACUGGUAAUUGGGGCU